rnacentral:rRNA from 1 species
GCGGAAGGAUCAUUCA